CGGCGUGACUCCAAUUGAACCGCAGCUUCACCCCUUGUGGUGCUCCCCCGCCAAUUCCUUAAGUUCAUACUUGCGUACGUACUUCCCAGGCGGCAGACUUAACGGCUUCCCUGCGGCACUGCAUUGGCCACAAGCCAAUGCAUCACCGAGUCUGCAUCGUUUACAGCUGGGACUACCCGGGUAUCUAAUCCGGUUUGCUCCCCCAGCUUUCAUCCCUCACCGUCGAACGUGUUCUGGUACACCGCCUUCGCCACAGGUGGUCUUCAAUAGAUCAAAGGAUUUUACCCCUUCCUAUCGAGUACCGUGUACCUCUCCCACUCCCUAGCUGCACAGUAUUUUCGGCGGCCUAUACGUUAAGCGCAUAGAUUUAACCGAAAACUUAUGCAACCGGCUACGGAUGCUUUAGGCCCAAUAAACCUCCUGACCACUCGAGGUGCUGGUUUUACCGCGGCGGCUGACACCAGAACUUGCCCACCCCUUAUUCACCAGUGAUUCUACAACUGACAAAAGACUCCUUUAGCAGGAGACACUCGGAUUAACCUUGUCGUGCUUUCGCACAUUGCAAAGGUUUCUCGCCUGCUGCGCCCCAUAGGGCCUGNGUCCGUGUCUCAGUACCC
rnacentral:rRNA from 1 species